GCGGGCGUAGUUCAGUGGUAGAAUGUCUCCUUGCCAAGGAGAAGGUCGAGGGUUCAAGCCCCUUCGCCCGCU
rfam:Candidatus Firestonebacteria bacterium RIFOXYC2_FTLL_39_67 rifoxyc2_full_scaffold_133, whole genome shotgun sequence.